GAUGAAGAACGCAGCGAAAUGCGAUAAGUAGUGUGAAUUGCAGAAUUCAGUGAAUCAUCGAAUCUUUGAACGCACAUUGCGCCCCUUGGUAUUCCAUGGGGCAUGCCUGUUCGAGCGUCAUUUGUACCUUCAAGCUUUGCUUGGUGUUGGGUGUUUGUCCUGAGGGACUCGCCUUAAAGUAAUUGGCAGCCAGUGUUUGGUUUUGAAGCGCAGCACAAGUCGCGAUUCAAAGCUAUACGCCCGCUUCCACAAGCCUUUUUCACUUUUGACCUCGGAUCAGGUAGGGAUACCCGCUGAACUUAAGCAUAUCAAUAGCGGAGGA
rnacentral:misc_RNA from 1 species